UCUCUCUACAAUCUCAAGUUGUGCAUCCAAGAUUUUGUCCCUCGGCAGUCUAGGAAAUGGUUGAUGCCGACUCUAACAUUGGGGAGCCUGAUGCCUGAUGGUGUGGCUGAUAUGGCCAACUGAACUUCUAACAGCUGGUGGCUGACCAAUAGUUAUUUGGAAAUUGAACUAUUACUACUAUGUUUCUAUGUUAACAUAUAUAUGCCAAAGGUUGUGCAUUUAUGGUUGAGAACAUCAAGAUUUUUCCGUGGAAGAGCAAGCAGUUUAUAGGUUCUUGAUUAUACAGCCAGCACCAUGUAGUAACACAUGUCAUAUUAUUGCUGAUUUACAUAUUGUUUCACCUAUCAAGAUA